rnacentral:rRNA from 1 species
AUUGAACGCUGGCGGCAGGCUUAACACAUGCAAGUCGAGCGAGCGGCGGACGGGUGAGUAAUGUCUGGGAAACUGCCUGAUGGAGGGGGAUAACUACUGGAAACGGUAGCUAAUACCGCAUACCAUCAGAUGUGCCCAGAUGGGAUUAGCUAGUAGGUGGGGUAAUGGCUCACCUAGGCGACGAUCCCUAGCUGGUCUGAGAGGAUGACCAGCCACACCUGAAAGGGGACACGGGCCCGACUCCUACGGGAGGCAGGAGGGGGGAAUAGUGCACAAUGGGCGGAAGCCCGAUGGAGCCAUGCCGCGUGUAUUAAGAAGGCCUUCGGGUUGGAAAGUACUUUCAGUCGGGAGGCGUUACCGACAGAAGAAGCACCGGCUAACUCCGUGCCAGCAGCCGCGGUAAUUC